GCCCCCUUAGCCCAACUGGAAGAGGCAGUCCCCUUAAAAGGGACGUGUUGUCGGUUCGAAUCCGACCGGGGGUA
rnacentral:tRNA from 1 species